UACAAUGAAGAGUUUGAUCAUGGCUCAGAUUGAACGCUGGCGGCAGGCCUAACACAUGCAAGUCGAGCGGUAACAGGAAAAAGCUUGCUUUUUUGCUGACGACCGGCGAACGGGUGCGUAACGCGUAUAGAAUCUGCCUUGUACAGGAGGAUAGCCUUUAGAAAUGAAGAUUAAGACCCCAUAAUAUUGGGAAGUGGCAUCAC
rnacentral:rRNA from 1 species